CGGCAAACUUUACUUUUGCCUAGGACGGCAAAAAUCCUUGCACCGGCCCUGGCUGGAGGGGGCUGUGUGAGCUGUGGCCGCACAGUGUCCCAUGGUAGUUAGGGUGCCGUGCGGCCAGUACAGCUCACACAAGCAAACAGCUGAUAAACUGGCCGCACGGAGGAAAUGUGUAUGUGUGACUGUCUGCCUGUGACUGUAUGUGACUGUCUGCCUGUAAC